GAAGGUCGCAUAUAACAGCUCAGGAAGCUGUGAGAUAGAGAAGAUCGUCGGCUCAGAAAUAGACACUACGGGAAAAUUCGCUUUUCCUGGCCACAGAGAGAUCCACGUGCUGGACACCGACUACGAGGGCUACGCCAUCCUGAGGGUGUCCCUGAUGUGGCGGGGCAGGAACUUUCGCGUCCUCAAGUACUUCAGUAAGCUUGGCCCUGGGGGGCUCUGCCCAGCUGCCGCCCUUCCAGGGACUGCCCGCCCAGCCCCCCUGUGCCCCACAGCUCGCAGCCUUGAGGACGAGGACCAGCUGGGGUUCUGGAAGUUUCGGGAGCUGACAGCAGACACUGGUCUCUACCUGGCGGCCCGGCCUGGGCGGUGUGCCGAGCUCCUGAAGGAGGAGUUCCUGCCUCAGACCACGAGGUUCAGAGCGCCCGCCCACCCUGGCCCCUCCUGGGCACCCUGCCCACCAGGUCACCUGCACCUGCUCUGAAUAAACUGUGAAGUCAA
rnacentral:sRNA from 1 species